rnacentral:rRNA from 1 species
GAUGAACGCUGGCUGCGUGCCUAAUACAUGCAAGUCGAGCGAACAGACGAGGAGCUUGCUCCUUUGACGUUAGCGGCGGACGGGUGAGUAACACGUGGGUAACCUACCUAUAAGACUGGGAUAACUUCGGGAAACCGGAGCUAAUACCGGAUAAUAUUUCGAACCGCAUGGUUCGAUAGUGAAAGAUGGCUUUGCUAUCACUUAUAGAUGGACCUGCGCCGUAUUAGCUAGUUGGUAAGGUAACGGCUUACCAAGGCAACGAUACGUAGCCGACCUGAGAGGGUGAUCGGCCACACUGGAACUGAGACACGGUCCAGACUCCUACGGGAGGCAGCAGUAGGGAAUCUUCCGCAAUGGGCGAAAGCCUGACGGAGCAACGCCGCGUGAGUGAUGAAGGUCUUCGGAUCGUAAAACUCUGUUAUUAGGGAAGAACAAACGUGUAAGUAACUGUGCACGUCUUGACGGUACCUAAUCAGAGAGCCACGGCUAACUACGUGCCAGCAGCCGCGGUAAUACGUAGGUGGCAAGCGUUAUCCGGAAUUAUUGGGCGUAAAGCGCGCGUAGGCGGUUUUUUAAGUCUGAUGUGAAAGCCCACGGCUCAACCGUGGAGGGUCAUUGGAAACUGGAAAACUUGAGUGCAGAAGAGGAAAGUGGAAUUCCAUGUGUAGCGGUGAAAUGCGCAGAGAUAUGGAGGAACACCAGUGGCGAAGGCGACUUUCUGGUCUGUAACUGACGCUGAUGUGCGAAAGCGUGGGGAUCAAACAGGAUUAGAUACCCUGGUAGUCCACGCCGUAAACGAUGAGUGCUAAGUGUUAGGGGGUUUCCUCCCCUUAGUGCUGCAGCUAACGCAUUAAGCACUCCGCCUGGGGAGUACGACCGCAAGGUUGAAACUCAAAGGAAUUGACGGGGACCCGCACAAGCGGUGGAGCAUGUGGUUUAAUUAGAAGCAACGCGAAGGAACCUUACCAAAUCUUGACAUCCUUUGACCCUUCUAGAGAUAGAAGUUUCCCCUUCGGGGGACAAAGUGACAGGUGGUGCAUGGUUGUCGUCAGCUCGUGUCGUGAGAUGUUGGGUUAAGUCCCGCAACGAGCGCAACCCUUAAGCUUAGUUGCCAUCAUUAAGUUGGGCACUCUAAGUUGACUGCCGGUGACAAACCGGAGGAAGGUGGGGAUGACGUCAAAUCAUCAUGCCCCUUAUGAUUUGGGCUACACACGUGCUACAAUGGACAAUACAAAGGGCAGCGAAACCGCGAGGUCAAGCAAAUCCCAUAAAGUUGUUCUCAGUUCGGAUUGUAGUCUGCAACUCGACUACAUGAAGCUGGAAUCGCUAGUAAUCGUAGAUCAGCAUGCUACGGUGAAUACGUUCCCGGGUCU